UUCUGACUGGGAUGCCCAACCGCGCUGGUCUGUUAUUGCCACCGGUUUGGGGCAGCGGCGGGGCGCUGACAGAACGGCAGAUCGCAAGGGUGAAGGCGCGCCCUGCCUAACUUUUCGGCAGUCUCCCGCCCCGAAGCCUCCGGGCCAGCUCCGCUCGGCUAUUCCCGCCAGACUCAAGGAGGCUUGGCAAGCAUGACUCUGUGGGUCCAUCAUUCCAGAAUGAAAAAGGCCCAUAAUCUGGAAGAAGAAAUACAUCAGUGGAAGGCCCAGCCAGACCCCCAGAAUCCCCUCCGCCUCUGCAUCUGACGAUUACCCUCUAAUAAACACCUGCACUUCGUGGAUCCUGGCCCUUGCCAGUGUGGAAUCUCUCAUCCUGGGAAUUGGACUCUCUGCUGCUGCCCCUCUGACUGGAAAGUCCCCCACAAAGUUGCCCUUUCCAUUGUCUAUUGGGUAAUCAUAGGUUGUGCUGCUGUGCUUACUUGCCUCUCUUAACUUUAAAUUUGGACCUCAGCCUGUCUAACUUCCCCAUAUCCCCAAACUAAGUUUCUCUCUGUAAUGUUAUGUCUAUACCUUCUUGGACUGUUCCUAACUGCCCAAACCGCAUUGGGAUAAAGAAACCCUAAGCUAUAUAACCUCACACUGUCUUCAGGGGGAAGAGUCUUAGCUCAAAGUAAUUGGAGGUAUGAAUGUAAGCCAUCUAAUCUCCUGGCAAUCACACCUGGUCCUAUGCUGACCCUCUACCUACCUGACCUGUUUCCUGAAACAAACAUACCUACAUACUCAGGCCGAGUCCAAAGAAUAAUAGAAAACCCUCCUGUGUACAUGUGCCCUGAUAACCCCCCUGAAACCCAAAAAAUGAAACCUUGCAAUGACCCCAGACAAUUUUAUUGCCCCUACUGGAUAUGUGUUACUGAAGCCACCUUUUCAGGAGGGCCAACUAGUAACCCUUGACUAUUUUUAAAACAGGGGUCAGCAGGAAUACUUAACCUCACUGUAAACCAACCCCUACAUUAUCAGUGGGGAACUGGAUACACUUUGGCAAUCAGGCUAUACAAGUCUGGAUAUGAUACAGGAGCCCUAAUAACCAUCCAGCAUCAAGAGCCAAGAUUCACUCUAAGGCCACAUGGACCCUUGGUAGGCUUAGAGGAUCCCCAUAAAGUUCUCCCCAAGGGCUCUGGACUGUCCCCAGCAGAGGCUUCACCCCACCCAAAAAGAAAAACAUGGCGAAAUCGUAGCUUGUUUCCUAUGUUGCAAAAUAUGCACCAACUCCUAAAUAUAACGCUGCCCUGAUGCAGGAAGUAAAUCAAGAUUUAGAGCAGUUUAAAUCCACCAUGAAUCAACUUCAAGAUCAAGUUGAUUCCCUGGCUGAAAUGGUGUUGCAAAAUCAUUGAGGACUUGACCUCCUAUUCAUGUCUCAGGGAGGUUUAUGCAUAGCCCUUGAAGAAGAUUGCUGUUUUUAUGCAAACCAGUCUGGCAUAGUUAGAAGCUCACUAGCUAAAGUAAAAGAGAAAUCCGAUGUAGAAAUAAAGUACUAGAAAACAAAAAGUCCUGGUUUUGGGGAUGGUUUGAAUGGAACCCAUGGCUAACAACUCUUCUAACUGGCCUUGCUGGGCCAGCAGCCCUUUUGCUCCUUGGGCUCCUAGUAGGACCAUGUCUCCUCAACUGGCUCAUUAACUUUUAUUAAGGAACACAUUUCCUCCAUACAGCUCGUGUACAUGCAAAGCCAUUAUGACCCUGUCAUAAAUCAAGAUGAUGAUGCCCCCUAAAACAAGGUGUUUAAAGGGGCAUUAGAGGGGGCAGUGAUAAGGAAAAUAUUCAACAUGGCCGAUAGAGCCCACAGGAGAAUCUCAGUCCCUCCCCACCUUGAGACCCUUCUGGGUUCUUCUUCCGACCUGCUUGCCGCUCACACCAAACCGCCACAUAGGUGGAAAGGUAUAAAUUGCUCCCCUUACCUGUGCUUGGGCUCAGACUUUUGGAGAUCACUCUCCUUGAGCCCACUGGUGUGAAAUAAACCUCCACCCUCCAAGA